CGCCGUGCUUUUCCAUGCGGUGGCAUUGGUAUACUGUUUAUUAAUUACUCAUACGGGGGGGGGGAGUCUGGAGCCCGUCAACGAAGUGAUCAGUUCGCUACCUAGAAUUCCAUUUUAGGGAGGGUCGAGGAUUGUCUGGUUUUGGGCGCAAGGCGAUGAGCGAUUGGAACUCAGUCCUGUGGUCAGUGGUGUCACGCAGACAUCCGUCUCUGCGCGCUUCUGUCGGGAUAACGCAGCUGACACGCGCGGAUGCUCCGGCAAAUGAAAAGAAAACGGGCUCCGAAACUUUCCAGGAUUUUCCCAAUGCGUUGGGGAGACACAUCAUCAUGAUGACCGUGUAUUUCAGCCGUUCUGAUGCAACGGGCCGUGCUCCGCCUUGUUGGACACAAUAAUAUAAGAACGCUCUUCUCCUUCUAAAGGACGUCGUGUUGCAAUCUCGAUCACGGGAUCAGAGGAUUACCGAAGUGGGAGACCGCGUUAACAUCAACUUCAGGACUGCUGGUAAGGCAGGCGGGGCGGGGGGGGAGGAGGCUGCAAUGUGGCCGCGUAGUGACCCAACUCCAGCAGCCACCAGCGAGUGUCCGCGCCGCGCUCCUCUCUCUCCCGUGCUGGACAGAACCCUCUCCCUGAGCCCGAGGCGACGGGUACGAGAUGUGCCGAGCAUGCUUCACAUCCCCAGUGACUCGUGGUGGUGGACCGGCCUUCCUGCGGGACCGGUAUGAGCCCGACACUGAGGCUGGGAAAGAGGAGCUGGUGACUCAGGCCCGGCCCUGGGCCAGGGUUUGGGGAAGGGAAUGCGGGGAAUUACCCAUUGUGGAAGCUCAUAUUGCCACGGACAGGAAGCAAUGCUUGCCUGCAUCCCUUGGUUGCUUCAGAGCACAUUGCAAAGAAUAAUGUGAAAUCACUGAAGCACAUGCAUUAGGAAGCAGGAGAAAGGAGGAAAGAACUUCUAAACCCUUUUCAGGAGGGAAAAGCCUCUGUGGGUGCAAGGCCGCCUGACUGCUCACCCCUCAGGGGGAUGUGGACGCUACACAUUGAAGAGGAAGGUUCAGCAUUUGGAAGCCAGGUACUCUGAUUGCAAUGAGGCAAAGCUCACCCUGGCAUGCCAGUGCCCGUUGGAAUGGGGGGUAAGAACAGGUAACUGCACAUAGUGACAGUUAGAAAGCUGCAUUGACAGCAAAACAACUUCAUUCGCUGCAUUCUAAAAAACUGUGUGAGGCUGAAAACUCUAAAUGUGUUCAAUAAAGGGGACAUUUCUUACGCUGGUUUGAAUCA
rnacentral:lncRNA from 1 species